GGCUGCCCGGACCGGGACGGAAACUCCGAGGCAACUCCUCACUAGUCGGAGGUCCUGCGUGUGCGACCCAUUUCCGCACAUGCGCGGUCCGUGUCGCAGUGCCCACUGGACGCUUGGGUAGCUGCGCUGCGGUCCGCCAGCGUCUGGUAGUAAGGGCAGAUGGUGGAGACAGGUGGAUUCUAGGAGCGUUAGGAAGAAACCCGACGUCUGAGCUGCUGUAUGACCUGGGAGGCACCUGUGUACUUGGAAGAUAAGCCCUUUCUUGCCGGGUGAAUAUGGAAACCCAAGCAGCUAAUGACAGAAGAAUUCUAUAAAGAAUUCUGCGAAGAGGCAGCCCCCACGGGCAAAGUUCAACGCCAGCUUCCCAACUGCACACCUGUGGUACCUCCCCUGAGCCCAGGUCCCUCUUUGAAGCAAUGAGACAUAAGGCAACAGCUAGAGGCAACGUGAUCAUUCGUUUUCAGACUCUCUCAGGACGUGCCACAGGUAUAGAUCCCCCAGGUGGAGGAGGCCACAUGAUAAGGAAUGCCAGUGGCCUCUAGAAACGAAAGUAACCCCUGUCUGAGGCCAGCAAGGAAACAGGGACCUCAGACCUACAGCCACAAGGAACUGGAUUCUGUGGAAAGCUGAAUGGGUUUGGAAGUGAUUCUUCCCCAGAAACUUCAGCUAAGAGCCCAGCCAUGCUGACAACUUUGACUGCAGUCUGGUGAGUCCCUGAGCAGGCAAGCCCACCCAGACUCUUGACCUCCAUCACUAGGAGAGAGUAAACAGAUGUUGG